UACAGAGGGUGCGAGCGUUAAUCGGAAUUACUGGGCGUAAAGGGCGCGUAGGUGGGUGCGUAAGUCGGAUGUGAAAUCCCUGGGCUUAACCUGGGAAUGGCAUACGAUACUGGGCAUCUAGAGUUGAGUAGAGGGAAGUGGAAUUUCCGGUGUAGCGGUGAAAUGCGUAGAUAUCGGAAGGAACACCAGUGGCGAAGGCGGCUUCCUGGACUCAAACUGACGCUGAGGCGCGAAAGCGUGGGGAGCAAACAGG
rnacentral:rRNA from 1 species